GGUCAGUGUUGUGACAUGAAGGCCUUUGAAAGCAACGAUGUGUGUGUCUGAAGAGGAAAGGGUGAUUGUUUCAAACCCCAUGUUUAGUGUAUUAAUGUGUCAUGUAAUUUCUGUGAAAGAAAAUUAGCUAACCAGAAGACAAACAAUGCCAGGCACAGCAGAGAAGGCUUUAUGAUACAUGAUUUGAAAUAAACUUGCAAUUAGAAAGCUGUUAACCACUUCAUUCCCCAGGGAGAAGAACAGAAGGAUAGAAAAAGCAUCAUUUUUGAGUGUAGUCUUUGCACAUCACACAAGAGUUUUUUCAGGGCUUUAUUGAGAAGACGAUGUCUGAAGUCACUGUGAAUGGGUGAACACAGAGUUCCUAUGGUUUAUGCAGCUGUUCUUCGUGACCCUGAAGAUCUCCCCUGUAAUCGCUGCUUGGCUGGAGCUCUCCAUACAGGACUCACUGAUUGAGCAGCUGAACAGGCGAAUGCCCAACUGAGGGACAUACCGAGGCUGACAAAGAGAAAGGAAAACCAGAGGAUAGGACUAUUCAGAACCGCAGCCCCACGGAACACCUGUCGCUUUGAUAGCACCGCCAGCAGGACGGCGUGACGAGCCAGCCAGCUGUACACAUGAAACAGAGGUUCACUGCAUCACAGAUCCGAUACGGAGCUCAAGAACCGCUGCACCUGACCAGCGACGCGCAGCCCUGCCUCGGCGCCCGGACGGCCCCGCACCACCGCCUCUCCGCACGGCUACAAAACGGGACUCUGCAUAAAAACAGAAUCGCCGGACGCGGAACCUAAAGUCCUUCAUCUCUCGCCGAGGUAACUCGCUGUCGGUUCCACGGGAACGGGAGGCUGGGACGGACAGGCGGGCCGUCCCCAGCCCCGCUCCCCAUCAGCCGCAGGCAUCCCGCGCCCUCCGCCCCUCGCCCGCGUCCCGAUAACCCCCGGGGCGGCCGUACUCCCCGUUCCCAGCGCCGCACCCCGACCGCCGCGGGCGGGACGCCCCACGCAGCCCCGCACGCAUCGCGGGUGCGACGCCCGCUGCCGCCCCAGCGCGCCCGGCGGCGGCUCCGCCUUCUCUGCGCCGCGGCCGGGACAGGUGCGCUCCCCCCCGGACGGC